UACGGGGGGGGCAAGCGUUGUUCGGAAUUACUGGGCGUAAAGGGCUCGUAGGCGGCCAACUAAGUCGGAUGUGAAAUCCCCAGGCUUAACCUGGGAACUGCAUCCGAUACUGGAUGGCUUGAAUCCGGGAGAGGGAUGCAGAAUUCCAGGUGUAGCGGUGAAAUGCGUAGAUAUCGGGAGGAACACCAGUGGCGAAGGCGAGUCUCUGGGAUGAUGCUGACGCUGAGGCGCGAAAGCCAGGGGAGCAAACGGG
rnacentral:rRNA from 1 species